GUUUACAUUUAUCUCAAAAUACCUCACAUCCUAUACAUCAUCUACUCUCAAUACAUGUAUAGGGUAACUCUAAUGCAAAAUAGGAAAGUAAACUAUCAACUAGCACUAGGGCGCUAAGCCCAUAACGCGAUCCUCUGCCGAUCCGCUCUCGUGUGUACCUGUACCCCAAAACCACACGGGGUGAGAACUAUAUAAAUAUAGUUCCCAGUGGGUUCGGCCGCCGACUCCGCCGAUCUUCCCACUAGGUCCAAGCUGGCACAGAUAGAUAGAUAGAAAGAUAUAUGGAAAUACUACUACUAUAUCUACUAUGCCAUCAAAUGCAAAGUAUGCAUGGAACAUCAUCUAGCAAUAACCUACCAUCAUGCUAGUAUGCCUCAACAGUGAAAUAAAUACAACAACAACAUAGUUAUGCAAUGCACUAUGUCUAAUCAAGGUAUGAAUGCAAUACUCUUAUGCUAUUCAUGUUGUUACCCAAUCCGCUAGGCUAACUUGCCUAAGAUCUCAAAUCUAGUAGGUGAAGAGCUACCUCACUCUUGUCUCACUCGACUCAUAUCUCAAGGGUCUGACCCAAUCUCGUGAGUCCCAGGCAAAGAGCUACCCCGCCCCUCGCCCGACUCACAUCUCAAGGUCCUAGGCAAAGGCUACCCCGCACUUUGCACGACUCACAUCUCAAAGAACUGGCUCACAUCUCAAAGAACUAGGCAAAGGCUACCCCGCAUUUUGCCCGACUCACAUCUCGACCUACUAGGUACAGGGCUACUCCACUCAAAUCUCAUAGGUGAACAACAGCAACAACUAUGGAAGCAAGCUAUCAUGAACAACAACAAUGAGUAUGACUCAAUAGGUACUCAAAUCUCAUAGGUGAAGGAAUAGUAUAUCAUGAAGGCAUGAGCAAUAAGUAAGCUACUAUGAACACUAGUAAGCUACUAUGAACAACAACAACAACUAUAGAAGCAAGCUAUCAUGAACAACAAUAAUGAGUAUGACCCAAUAGGUAACCCAAUCUCCAAGUGAACACGAGGUUCACAAGCAAGGCUCACAUAUCAAUCUCCGAGGGAUGCCUAGCUGGACGAUCCCCGAGUACGCCUGCGGAUAACAAGCGGCUAUCCGAGCAGCAAGCACGGCUGCCUCUCUAGUGACCAAACUCCGGAGCGCACAACUUGAGGGGAGCGACCCCACCAAGCGCAGACAGGCAAUGUGAGCGUGAUCAUCUCACGAGCAACAGCAACCUACCCUCUAAGGGUAAUCUCAUCAUGGAAUCAAGGUGUUCUUGUACCCAAUCUCAUAGUGUUUCAACUACACUAAGGUUCUCAUGUCAAGGUUAUCAACAAUCAUAUGCCACUCAUCAUAGUUUUCUAAACUAGAUGCCACUCGACAUUUAGACUCAUUUCAACACUAGUUACAUCAUACUAGUUCUUUAGCAACAUAAGUAUUAAUCACCUCACAUAGGGUCUAGGUCUUUAUCAUAAAGUUUUCAUCAUAUAAUCAUCAUGCAUACUAGAUCAUGGAUCAAUCAUAAAGAUGUAUAGCUACUAGCAUGCAAAUAUGAGCAAUGACUACAAUCAUUUAGCAUCUAAAUGCAAUAAAUACAAUAUGCAACUUAAUCGAUUAAUGCACUCAACAAAGUUUAAUCCACAUUAAUCAUGCCCUUAUAGGGUUUCACCACACUAAGUCUCAAUCUCAUGCAUACUAGGUACAAGUAUUAAUCAAGUAACACUUCACUCCCACUAGCAUGCCAUGACAUGUAACAAUUGCCAACUAGUACCCUAUAAUGCAAUAUCCCAAUAUGCAACUUGAUCAACGUUAACUAGAGUUUCUAGUACAACAACCAAUCCAUUACUAGUUCAAGUCAUAUGUAUUUUUAGCACAAUAAGUUCAAUGCCACUUGUAAACUAUGUCUUUAAACACAACGCUAGGUUCUUCUCUCAUUUAGCAUCAUAGGUUUACCAAUGUCAUCUCAUAAUCCUUAUGUCCAUUACAUCAUAUAUCCAUAUCAUAAUACUAUAUUGAUCAUAAACAUCAUAUAAGGAUUAGGAAUGCAUGUAUUGUCAUCCUAUAAUGCAUAGCAACAUACAAUAUGCUACAUGUGAACGGAUAAGCACUAAGACAUAGGAAGAAGCCCGAUGACUUCGGGAUGGCACUCCCCCACCUUUUAUCGCGUUCCGAUUGCUUGUCGUCACUUGCAAUCGGCCUCCCGCGGCGCACGCCGCUCGGCUUGACCCAAUCCGUGCGCGACCACCAAACGACCUCCGAUCCGCGAUCCGAAAAUUAAAGGUCUUCGGUUUCUUGUUACGAUGCUUCAAAUCCGUUUUCAGGAUUUUACGACGUCGCCUCGGCCCUCCAGGCGGAAACGAAGCCUAAACGUCCGUUUCUUUAAUAACUUUGCACCGGCUCGACGAAUCGCCGAACCGUCGCUUCCAACGCGUUCGUAGACCUAGCAAUUAGGUAAACAGAGGGUUAAAAGAGAUCAAACCCUCAUAUUUUGAAAGUUAGCAUUUUGAGCCCUAGGUUUACAACUAUGCAAGAAAUCAUUAAAUUGCUCUAUGAUUCAAGCAUUAACCAUCUAUUAGGCAUCAAUGGGUUCCACUAAAACCAUUUCCAAAGCAUUUAGACCUAUCUUUAGAGAUCUACCAUUAAAGCCCUCAUUUUGGAGCUCUUGGUUUCAAUAGGUAAAAAUCCACCAUUAGAACUUAGGAUCUAAGCAUAAAUCAUCUUCUUAGCAUCUAGGAAAGCUACUAAUUCGUUUCUAGAGCUUAAAACCCAAGCAAUAGAGAAAUGCCAUUAAAGCUCUUAAAGCUUACCUUCAAAGCAUGCUCCAAUGGAGAGGAAGAAGAUGAAGUUGAUGAAGAUCAACUUCCAAGCUUACUUCUCCACCAAAUCCAUCCAUUUUGGAAGAGAUUUAGAGAGAGAAAGGGAGUUUUAGAGAGAGAGAGGGAGAGUUUCUCUCUCCUUCAUUCCAUGCGUGUGUGCGUGUGAUGCUUGGGUGUGCACGGUUGAGGGGAGAAGAAGCUGUUGCUUCUCUUAUAAUUAACACCCCUCAAAACACUAUUCAUCCCGGGCAGCUUGAAAUCUGAUAUCUUUCGCCGAAGCUCCCUGAAUGUCCGUUUGAGCUUAAACUUGACAGUCAUGUUCGGUUUUACUUAACUUAACAAGCUGACGAUCACUGGCUCAGUUUUGACCCCGUUUGGUCACUGAAAACUGUACCGAACUGCAAUCUUUACAGAUAGCUUUCGGAUUUUAUUUCUCACUCUACAGGUGUCAGAAAAAUAUGAAACCUUAAAUCUAGCCUCAUAAAAAUAUUUCUGACUUAUCCUCUAAUUUUCAUAAUUUUCUGAGACUGUGCAUUUUCUGUUAAUUUAUCUGCCCCGUCUCCAACAGAAAAUUCUAAAUCUUCUGUUUUAAUUCCGAUUUCAGCACAGGUCAUUCCCAACUCAUAUUUCACUUCUCUAAAUUCAAUAAAAAUAGUAUCUCAUACUAUUUUUAUUUAUUUCUAUUUUUAUAUUUAAAUCCGGUAUAUUACAUUACACCGCAACCUUACCGGAACCAUUCAAAUGGCUCUCCAACCAAAUGGACACCGUAACCUCAUGAUUUUAGAAGUCCGGUACCUUACAUUAAUUA
rnacentral:lncRNA from 1 species